rnacentral:rRNA from 1 species
UACGUAGGGUGCGAGCGUUGUCCGGAAUUACUGGGCGUAAAGAGCUCGUAGGUGGUUUGUCGCGUUGUCCGUGAAAACUCACAACUCAAUUGUGGGCGUGCGGGCGAUACGGGCAGACUGGAGUACUGCAGGGGAGACUGGAAUUCCUGGUGUAGCGGUGGAAUGCGCAGAUAUCAGGAGGAACACCGGUGGCGAAGGCGGGUCUCUGGGCAGUAACUGACGCUGAGGUGCGAAAGCUAGGGGAGCGAACGGG